rnacentral:rRNA from 1 species
AUUGAACGCUGGCGGCAGGCCUAACACAUGCCAGUCGAGCGGAUGGAGGGAGCUUGCUCCUGGAUUCAGCGGCGGACGGGUGAGUAAUGCCUAGGAAUCUGCCUGGUAGUGGGGGAUAACGUCCGGAAACGGGCGCUAAUACCGCAUACGUCCUGAGGGAGAAAGUGGGGGAUCUUCGGACCUCACGCUAUCAGAUGAGCCUAGGUCGGAUUAGCUAGUUGGUGGGGUAAAGGCCUACCAAGGCGACGAUCCGUAACUGGUCUGAGAGGAUGAUCAGUCACACUGGAACUGAGACACGGUCCAGACUCCUACGGGAGGCAGCAGUGGGGAAUAUUGGACAAUGGGCGAAAGCCUGAUCCAGCCAUGCCGCGUGUGUGAAGAAGGUCUUCGGAUUGUAAAGCACUUUAAGUUGGGAGGAAGGGCAGUAAGUUAAUACCUUGCUGUUUUGACGUUACCAACAGAAUAAGCACCGGCUAACUUCGUG